rnacentral:lncRNA from 1 species
CCCUGAUCUAUGCUAACCUCCUACAGCGUAUAGGAACCCCCUCCCCACAGCACAUAUCAGUGGUCCUCAGACUCGUCGCUCCAGUGACAAUGCAGCCCGUUCCAUUUUCAGAAGUUCUACUAGAAAUUUUUUCUGUUCACCUUUGUUACCUCACAUCUGGAUUUUUGUUGACCUGCCACUCACUUUGAUUUCCACAGAAUCUCAUGGGGAUAUCUGUUUUCGUUCUGUUUCUAGUCUCACAUACCUUUUAUCACAGAAGCUCCUCUUCUUUUUGAUCUGGUUAGGCUCUGCAAAAUGAACAACCCUGAAACUUAAAGGCUUAAAACAAGAGAAAUUGAUUAUAUCUUAUGAUUCUGCGGGUUGACUGGGUGGUUUUCCUGAUGGUCUCACCUGGGUGACCGCAUUCAAUUGGCUGAUGGGCUGGGGGCAUCAGCUAGGGUGCCUUGGUGCGCUCCACAUGGUCUUUCCACAUUGCUGGCUUGGGCUGCUUCACAGCAUGUUGAUCUCAGUGAAGCUGGAAUUUUUACUUGGCAGCUGGCUUCCAAGAGGGAGAAAGCAGAAGCUCAGACAUCUCAGAAUCUCACUCCUGUUGCAUGCUGACAGGGACAGAGGUCAAAGCAAGUGGAGUAAGUUACAAGGCCAGGCCAGAUUUGAGAGGAAAGGAAAUAGACUCCACCUCUUAGUGGAAGAAGCAGCAAGUGCAAGCAGUGAAGAAGGGAACUGAUGGGGGCCAUAUUUGUGCAUAACCAACCACAUCCCCAAAAGCUAUUAAUAAGACAUUGACCCCCAUAGGCUCUAAAGGCUAAGAGAGGUUUAUACCUGUGGUCCUCAAUGCAUUUUCAUCCAACAGGAGAAGGAAUUAUUCUUCUAAGAGCUUUAAAAUCACAUAGGAUCGGGCAAACCUUUAUGCUUUGGGGGUCUCCACCUGGGACCGAGAAUUAAAUAGACAUAAGACAGAUGAACAGGAGAAAAGCAUACAAAUUUUAUUUUUACAUGUACUUGGAAGACUCUACAAGAAAAUGAAAAUGCAAAGAAGUGGCAAAAGAGAGGACAUCUUUCACAGAGGAGUUCCAGCUCCUGUUUUCAGGAAGGAAAUGGGAGAAAGAAGAUUCCAUAUUAUUUACAGCAGAUAACUUCUAGAUUAAAUUUCAAUGUAAAGACCUUUUCCCUAAUUAUUAUCUACCUCUUUUGAUGCUACAAUGUAAGCUCAUUCUCUCUCCUCAUUUUGAUUGUAACUAGGUCUGUAUUCACUCUAAAAGAGCCUCUCCUCAGCACCACAUAUUUCUGCUUUAACAAUCACUGCUGUGAGCUCAUCUCCCCUGGGAGACUUUGCCCUUUCUUCCUUGGGGUCCCCAUUGGGCCUGCAACAUAUUUCUGUCACACCAGAAUGCCGCAUUAGUGAAUGUAUUUGUUACAUGUCUGCCUCCUCUUACUAGCUUGGACAUGCCAUUGAGGGCCGCCAUUUUUGAAUCCCUAGCAGCACCUACCUCAGUGCCUUAAUAAAUGCCUAAUAAAUAUCUACUGAAGAAAUAAGAGUUCCUAGCUAUUCCUCAGAGUUUCAUAUUCCACCACUUACUCCUCAGUUUUCUGGCUCUCUUUUA